CUGAUCUUUCCUGGUAAUCUGAGUAAGGUGAAUAGAUACUUGGUGACGAGACCGGUCUUAUUGUCUCCCAUUGGCACGUAAGAAAAAAGAUUGACAGUAUCAAGUGAACGGAAUGUAGGGGGUGGGCUGCAAUGUUAAUGGGAGGGGUAGCCAAAGGCUGGAGCUCAUUGAUGACGCGGCCCUCACGUGACCUGCAGUCGACGUGUGCAGAAGUCCUUAUAAUCCAGGCCCAGUUCCUCAGUAGCAGCUCAGUCUUGCUAAAGAGGAGGGGCCCGGCUUCUUUCAGGACUCUUGAUCUUUUGGGCGCGACAUAAAAUCGAGGUUCAAGAAGAGAAAAAAAUCUCCAGAUACCUACAGGA
rnacentral:lncRNA from 1 species